rnacentral:sRNA from 1 species
GACAGGCAUGGUGGCUCAUGCCUGUAAUCUCAGCUGCUUGGGAGGCUGAGGCAGGAGGAUGGCAAGUUUGAGGCCAGCCUCAGCAUCUUAGCAAGACUCUGCCUCUA